UGUCACAGACCGUCACUCAAUCACUGCAGCAGCAUCAAAUUCUUCAAAGUGAAACACUCUUCGCUCCGCACAGUGAAAAAAAAGAAUAAUUUCGUCAUGCAAUGCCUUCAUUUAACAGCAAGACAAGCUGAUAUUUCAAGAUACAAAUCACAGCUCCAAUUUAAGGCAGCACGCUGAGGAUUCAUAUCCCGAGGUUACCAGAGCUGGCCAGAUCCUGCUCGGUGUCGGACUCCACUGCUACGUGUCGCUGAGUGAUGACGAAAAACUACAGCCGGUGCUAACCAGACAUCACUUCGGUCUUUUACGAUGGACUUCAGAGGAUUAACUGAUGCCAACUCCAACUGUAAGACAUCGGAUAUUUCAUAUGCCACUGCCUGAACCUUGGACUUAUGAUGGACCCUACCGAACCUCACCGAAAUGACCUGCCGUUAGAACUGCGAUGCACCUCAUUGAUCUCUACCUGCAUCACCUUUGUCUAAUGAUGAACUGCACUCUUGAAAUGGAAUACAUAGACUAUCAAUUAAUUGCCAACAAAAGCCUUCAUCAGCCAACUAACAAAGGACAAUGCUUCUAUGUGAACUUCUGCAGUUAAUCCAGGAUGGACUUCAUGAACUUUUUUUUUCUUUUAUAAACACUGGACCUUAACACUUACUUAGUUUUAAACCAUGACUUGCAUUGCACACAGACAAUAAUAUUAGCAUUAUAUUCAUGUUGAUUAGCCAGAGGGGAACUGGCCCCCACAGUGAGCCUGGUUUCUCCCAAGGUUAUUUUUCACCAUUAACCAACAUCUUAUAGAGUUUUGUGUUCCUUGCCAUAGUCGCCUUCAGGUUGCUCACAGGGGUUCUAAAUACAAUUAUUAUUUAUUUAAUUUUUAUACACAAUUUACAAUCAUAUUUAAUCAAAUGACACAAUGAUCACUCUAAGACUUUAUAGAUAUUACAGUUUAAUUUUUUGUUAAUUAAUGAUUUUCUGUAAAGCUGCGUGUUGUGAAAAGCGCUUCACAAAUAAAAAUUUCUUGACUUGA